rnacentral:rRNA from 1 species
GACCUCAGGUCAGGUGAGGCCACCCGCUGAGUUUAAGCAUAUCAAUAAGCGGAGGAGAAGAAACUUACAAGGAUUCCCUUAGUAACGGCGAGCGAACCGGGAUGUGCCCAGCUUGAGAAUCG